CCCUGGGAGCUGGGAAGCUGGAAUUGCCCUCAGAGGGGUCUCCAACUGGGGCAAGGGGCCAGGCCUUCAGACCACCGCAUAGAUUAGCCAUUGGCUGGAGCGUUCCCAGGCGGAGGCAUACACUCGGGGAAGGGCAAAAGGCGUCCCAAGACAGCCUGGCUGUGAGCCAUCAGCAGCGACUCCGAGCCCCUCGGCCCUUCGGGGCCCCAGGCUGGGCACCACACCAUCCAUCACAGUCCCCACAUCCCUCAAACAUAAUUGGCUUCCUGGGAGCCUCGUCCCUGAGAACAGCCCCUGUGCCAUGGAAGUUUCUAUUCAUGUGACCGAGUAAAGGCAGAGAAAACCAAGCUGGGGCAUUUUUCAAUUUUGCUUUGUUAUUUCAAAGUAAUGGCAGCCUGGGCAACAUGGUGACACCUCAUCCUUAUGAAUUUUUGGUUUUAAUUUUCAAAAAAUUAGCCAGGCAUGGUGGUGUGCCCCUGGAGUGCCAGAUGCUCAGGAGGCUGAGGCAGGAGGAUUGCUUGAGCCUGGGAGGAUGAGGC
rnacentral:lncRNA from 1 species